AUUGAACGCUGGCGGCAGGCCUAACACAUGCCAGUCGAGCGGAUGAAGGGAGCUUGCUCCUGGAUUCAGCGGCGGACGGGUGAGUAAUGCCUAGGAAUCUGCCUGGUAUUGGGGGAUAACGUCCGGAAACGGGCGCUAAUACCGCAUACGUCCUGAGGGAGAAAGUGGGGGAUCUUCGGACCUCACGCUAUCAGAUGAGCCUAGGUCGGAUUAGCUAGUUGGUGGGGUAAAGGCCUACCAAGGCGACGAUCCGUAACUGGUCUGAGAGGAUGAUCAGUCACACUGGAACUGAGACACGGUCCAGACUCCUACGGGAGGCAGCAGUGGGGAAUAUUGGACAAUGGGCGAAAGCCUGAUCCAGCCAUGCCGCGUGUGUGAAGAAGGUCUUCGGAUUGUAAAGCACUUUAAGUUGGGAGGAAGGGCAGUAAGUUAAUACCUUGCUGUUUUGACGUUACCAACAGAAUAAGCACCGGCUAACUUCGUG
rnacentral:rRNA from 1 species